ACCAACUAAUGUAACAAAUACUUUCUAUUUCCUCAACCAACAGAUAUAAGUUCAACCAACACCAAUAAGUUAUUUUACAAACAAAAGAAUGCUUUCCAACCACGACUGCAGAGCUCGAUUUGGGUGAGACUUCAACAAUGCUUAUUUGUAAGCUGCCUGUACCUGAAAUUCCAUCACAUGUCAGUGAUCAAGUUCCACUCAAUGGUAAUCAAUGGCCAGUUAAAAGUGUUAACCCAUAGAAGCAAGAAUGCUAGGAGGACCUGAAUUGUAACAUUAUUUGCCUAAUGAAUUGUGAAAUUAAGAUAAGGAAAACAAAGGUCUAAUUUUGGAUUUGAAACUCGCCCAUCUACAGAAACUUAGCAAUUGACUGAAAUAUCCACAGAGAAAAAAGUACUUAUCAGAUUGAAAUUCAGAUCCCAGAAGUAAACAUAAGGUACUGGACUAAAUUCCAUUAUAGUAGAAUCUCUCUGCAAACACUCGACGAAAAGAAAAGAAAAAAAGACACCAAUCUUUAUGACCACCAGUGCAGAUCUUCAAAAAUUAGAAAUCCCAUGUACUACAAUUGGUACAAGGGAAGUGUAAAUAGAAAACAUAAUUCUUUAAAUUUAAUACAACGAGCUGAAAAUCUAAGUCCUGGGAAUUUAAUCUACCCAUUUUAAUGGAACUUCAUGAUGCCCUAGAAAAAAGCACAAAGACUAACCAACAAAUGAGAAAUCUGAGAGAGCUAUCUGAAAACCCAAUCGGUUUAUUUUAUGAAUCCAAGAGCCCUCUGAAAAUGAUUAAAUGGAGCUUUGAUGUCAAGCAUCAAGGGAACUACUUUAACAGAUAUUCAACAUAGUGGAAUGAUGAGUUAAUAUUUUUAUAAUUUGGUAUAAAGAAAGAAGCACGUGAUAUCAAAAGCUAAAAAAUCAAAAAAAGUUAUGAUAAUACAUGGGUUGUUUUUGUAACUUCACUGGAGUGUUUGAUUAAGCUUUUCUUCAUUUAUUAUCUUGUUUUUUGCCUGUGCAAUUUCUUUCCCUCUCCCACACACAAACAGUGUGCGAUGUGAUCAAAGAGGGACAGGCAUGCAAAGUGCAGUGCUUUUUCUCAUGCAAUGUCUUCAAAUAUAACUAAAAGCCACUCCUGUCAAUUAUAAGCAACAAAGCAUGAAGAUUCAUAAUUACAAAGGAAAACAAGUAGCAAAUUCAUUCUAAUUUCAAAUUAUCACAGAUUCACACAUUAUCACAAAUCACAAAUUAUCAAUCUGUAACGUAUAUAAAAAAGUUCUCUCCAAUAGGUGAGAGGGAUAACCCUAGAAAGAGAAGGUUCCCAUUUUCUUCCCCCCUCUCACUUUUGUCUCCACAGAAAGAGCUCACCAUAUAUACAUACAAAUAUAACCAAUACAUAUAUAUAUAUAUAUAUAUAUAUAUAUACACACACAGUGGCGAAUCCAGAAGUUCAACCCAGCACGGGCGGUCAUCGACCGUUCAGCCGCAAUAAAAUAUUAAGAGUCUAUUUGAUAUCAUUUAUUUAUUUAUUGCAUUUUUUUACAAAAAAAUACAUUUUGAAAUGGUGAUUUGAUGGAGA
rnacentral:lncRNA from 1 species